ACAGGUUGCGCAGUGUGGCAUGGGCCUGAGGUCUUCGGACCAAUAAGGCAGCGAGAUUGGGUACUUUUGAGCUUAUCGUCAGUUGACGCAUGCAUACAGUAACUGUAGUAUUUAUUUUCAGUAUAUCCUUAUCUGUUUAUUGUAGCUACUGUUUUAUUUACCUGCAUCUAUACUUGUCAGCUCCUUACUUAUCAGCAUCUUUACUUACCAGCACUUAUAUCUAUCUAGUUCUCCGUGUUAUUGUAUAGCUCUCUUCCUGAUCCGGUGAGUACUCCUCGCCUUCUUCGGCUUGCGGUACCCACUGGGAGGGGAGACAUGUUUACAUGUUCUCACCUCCCCCACCAUUUUUCAGGUAUCGCGGGUGAUGAGUAGUGGGACGAGACGUGAGGUACGUGUGUAGCGGUCGAUAGAGCUUCUGACCCAGGUUAUUUCGAUUUAGUUAUUAUCCUUGGUAUUUCUGUUGUUAUAUAGUUUAGUUGGUUUAUAUGGUUCAGUAUUUAUUUACAUUUGAAAUGUGGAUUUCUGGAUUUUGUAAAAUAAAAGGUUUUCUACCCCUCGUGGUAGCGUUUUUAAAAGAAUAAAGGUUUCUGUGUAGGAAACAGUUUUCAAAAAAUUUUUGUGGAUUUCUGUUUAAACCUUGAAUGUAAAACUGUGAUGUGAAUGGUGAAUGUAUGAAUGUAUAGUUAUCUUUUAUAUUCAUCUGGUUGUGGUUGUAUCCUUGUUGUACUGUGUAUUCGAUCAACGCCGUGCAAAUACAGGGGAGACUCUGUCCGUGUGAACAGUGGAUUCCCUGUAUUUGUGGUGGAUCUGGCAUACUCUGGGGUCAGGUUUUCAAAAAAAAAAAUUCAGACGCUUUUCCGCUUUGUUUUAAACUAAAAAGGGACCCCGGGGCGUGACAGCCGCCGACAGCGAUGACGACCGCGGGGGCGGACGAGGGGCUCGGCGACGGAGACGACGGUGACGGCGGCCAUGGGGCCGCCGCCGCCAUGGCCGUGGGCUUGGCGACGGCGAUGGAGACGACGGUGGGGGUGGGCUCGGCGGCGGCGGCGGGGGAGAGGAGGAGGGGUCGCGGGCGGUGGAGAGGAGGGUGAGGAGGGAGGCAACGGUGAAGAAGGAGGGUGAGGAGGGAGGCGACGGUCCGAUCCGCCUCUUUUUUUUCGGCGAGAAAAAAAAAAGAACGACAGAAACGAAGAGGAGAGAGAAAGAGGAAAGAGAAAAAGUAAUAAGGGUAUUUUGGUCAGUUUGCUGAAAAAGCGGACCGAAUCUGCAAAAACGAAAAAUGUG
rnacentral:lncRNA from 1 species